rnacentral:lncRNA from 1 species
AAAACAUUCACAAUUUCUUUUUUCAGAACAUUCAGAAUUUUUAUUAAGUGCUAGAAUUUCAACUUAAAUCGAAUUGUACAUGUAAGUAUAAACUGUAUGCUAUUUUCAAUUGUCCCAAAUAUAUAUAUAUAAUACUGGUUCAGAUUGUGACAUAUGGGUAUAAUACUUAUUCCAAAUUGAUCCCGGUAUUAACAAUCAUUUCCUGAAAAGAGUUUGUGAUUUAAAUUAAACUUUGUUUUUGAAAUUGAUUAAAAAGUACAAAUGUUGAAAAGAGGAACUUUGUGUGUUAUGAUUGCAAUUCAAAAUGAUGUAAAAAUAUAAUAUGCUUUUUUUAAAACUAAUUCCAGGAGUCAGUAUUGGCUUUCGAUGAUAAUUAACACUUCUUGAAUAAAGUCUUUAUGUCCACAAUAUGUAAGAAUGAACAUCAUCAGUGCACGAUUCGAAUAAAAAGAGGACGAAAGAUACCAAAGGGACAGUCAAACUCAUAAAUCUAAAACAAACUGACAACGCCAUGGCUGAAAAUGAAAAAGACAAACAGAAAAACAAUAGUAAACAUGACACAACAUAGAAAACUAAAGAAUAAACAACACGAACCCCACAAAAAAACUAGGGGUGAUCUCAGGUGCUCCGGAAGGAAAAGCAGAUCCUGCUCCACAUGUGGCACCCGUCGUGUUGCUAUGUGAUUACAAAUCCGGUAAAUAGUCUAAUACGUGAGAAAACCUUUUAUAUUUAAAAGUAAACUUUUAUUACAGACCAGAGCCUUCCUAGUGAUAAAUUACGAACUAUAGUCUCUUUUUGUUAUUCUAGAAUGAAUUGACAAUAAAAGUAUAGCUGUCUAAGUUGUUUUAAAACAGAGUUAGAGAAACGAAAGACGAUAUACUUAACCAUGGUGUGACAUAUCUAAAGGCGUUGGUGCUGCACAACAUGGAGGAACAACCUUCAACAUCAGGAGGCAUAAAGCGUUCAAUACCACAGGAAUUACAAGACGAAAUCGACAGGAUAGCUUCAAAAGUACCACGAAACACAGG